GAGAGAGGUUAUUAAACAGCAAAAACUGCUAAUAUUUGCCCCUAUGGUUAAAAUCCGUAGCUCACUCG
rnacentral:tRNA from 1 species